UCCUCUAGAGGUCUGCUGUAACAUAAUACUAGAGGUCUGCUGUAAGGUAACAUAGUACUAGAGGUCUGCUGUAAGGUAACAUAAUACUAGAGGUCUGCUGUAAGGUAACAUAAUACUAGAGGUCUGCUGUAAGGUAACGUAAUACUAGAGGUCUGCUGUAAGGUAACGUAAUACUAGAGGUCCGCUGUAAGGUAACGUAAUACUAGAGGUCCGCUGUAAGGUAACGUAAUACUAGAGGUCUGCUGUAAGGUAACAUAAUACUAGAGGUCCGCUGUAAGGUAACGUAAUACUAGAGGUCUGCUGUAAGGUAACGUAAUACUAGAGGUCUGCUGUAAGGUAACGUAAUACUAGAGGUCUGCUGUAAGGUAACGUAAUACUAGAGGUCUGCUGUAAGGUAACGUAAUACUAGAGGUCUGCUGUAAGGUAACGUAAUACUAGAGGUCUGCUGUAAGGUAACGUAAUACUAGAGGUCCGCUGUAAGGUAACGUAAUACUAGAGGUCCGCUGUAAGGUAACGUAAUACUAGAGGUCCGCUGUAAGGUAACGUAAUACUAGAGGUCCGCUGUAAGGUAACGUAAUACUAGAUGUCUGCUGUAAGGUAACAUAAUACUAGAGGUCUGCUGUAAGGUAACAUAAUACUAGAGGUCUGCUGUAAGGUAACAUAAUACUAGAGGUCUGCUGUAAGGUAACAUAAUACUAGAGGUCUGCUGUAAGGUAACAUAAUACUAGAUGUCUGCUGUAAGGUAACGUAAUACUAGAGGUCUGCUGUAAGGUAACGUAAUACUAGAGGUCUGCUGUAAGGUAACGUAAUACUAGAGGUCUGCUGUAAGGUAACGUAAUACUAGAGGUCUGCUGUAAGGUAACAUAAUACUAGAGGUCUGCUGUAAGGUAACGUAAUACUAGAGGUCCGCUGUAAGGUAACGUAAUACUAGAGGUCCGCUGUAAGGUAACGUAAUACUAGAGGUCUGCUGUAAGGUAACGUAAUACUAGAGGUCUGCUGUAAGGUAACGUAAUACUAGAGGUCUGCUGUAAGGUAACGUAAUACUAGAGGUCUGCUGUAAGGUAACGUAAUACUAGAGGUCUGCUGUAAGGUAACGUAAUACUAGAGGUCUGCUGUAAGGUAACGUAAUACUAGAGGUCCGCUGUAAGGUAACGUAAUACUAGAGGUCCGCUGUAAGGUAACGUAAUACUAGAGGUCCGCUGUAAGGUAACGUAAUACUAGAGGUCCGCUGUAAGGUAACGUAAUACUAGAGGUCCGCUGUAAGGUAACGUAAUACUAGAGGUCCGCUGUAAGGUAACGUAAUACUAGAGGUCCGCUGUAAGGUAACGUAAUACUAGAGGUCCGCUGUAAGGUAACGUAAUACUAGAGGUCCGCUGUAAGGUAACGUAAUACUAGAGGUCCGCUGUAAGGUAACGUAAUACUAGAGGUCUGCUGUAAAGUAACGUAAUACUAGAGGUCUGCAGUAAGGUAACGUAAUACUAGAGGUCCGCUGUAAGGUAACGUAAUACUAGAGGUCUGCUGUAAAGUAACGUAAUACUAGAGGUCUGCAGUAAGGUAACGUAAUACUAGAGGUCUGCUGUAAGGUAACGUAAUACUAGAGGUCUGCUGUAAGGUAACGUAAUACUAGAGGUCCGCUGUAAGGUAACAUAAUACUAGAGGUCUGCUGUAAGGUAACAUAAUACUAGAGGUCCGCUGUAAGGUAACAUAAUACUAGAGGUCUGCUGUAAGGUAACAUAAUACUAGAGGUCUGCUGUAACGUAACAUAAUACUAGAGGUCUGCAGUAAGGUAACGUAAUACUAGAGGUCUGCUGUAAGGUAACAUAAUACUAGAGGUCUGCUGUAAGGUAACAUAAUACUAGAGGUCUGCUGUAAGGUAACAUAAUACUAGAGGUCUGCUGUAAGGUAACAUCAUACAUAAUACUAGAGGUCUGCUGUAAGGUAACGUAAUACUAGAGGUCUGCUGUAAGGUAACGUAAUACUAGAGGUCUGCUGUAAGGUAACGUAAUACUAGAGGUCUGCUGUAAGGUAACGUAAUACUAGAGGUCUGCUGUAA